AUUGAACGCUGGCGGCAAGCCUAACACAUGCAAGUCGAGCGAGCGGCGGACGGGUGAGUAACGUCUGGGAAACCGCCUGAUGGAGGGGGAUAACUACAGGAAACGGUAGCUAAUACCGCAUAUCAUCAGAAGUGCCCAGAUGGGAUUAGCUAGUAGGUGGGGUAACGGCUCUCCUAGGCGACGAUCCCUAGCUGGUCUGAGAGGAUGACCAGCCCCACGGGAACUGAGCCACGGUCCAGACUCCUACGGGAGGCAGCAGUGGGGAAUAUUGCACAUUGGGCGCAAGCCUGAUGCAUCCAUGCCGCGUGUGUGAAGAGGGCCUUCGGGUUGUAAAGCACUUUCAGCGGGGAGGCGUUACCCGCAGAAGAAGCACCGGCUAACUCCGUGCCAGCAGCCGCGGUAAUAC
rnacentral:rRNA from 1 species